rnacentral:rRNA from 1 species
GACAGAGGGUGCAAACGUUGCUCGGAAUCACUGGGCGUAAAGGGCGCGUAGGCGGGAAUGUAAGUCGGGCGUGAAAUCCCCCAGGCUCAACCUGGGAACUGCACUCGAAACUGCGUUUCUUGAGUAUCGGAGAGGAAAGCGGAAUUCCUGGUGUAGAGGUGAAAUUCGUAGAUAUCAGGAGGAACACCAGUGGCGAAGGGCGGCU